AUUCCAUGAUGAGGGCACUUCUGUAAUAAUCCUUUGUACCUUUCCCAUGCCUCUUAUAAGGACUCAUCAUCUAUUUGUUGGAAAACAAAGACAUCAUUCCUCAACUU
rfam:Gossypium arboreum cultivar AKA8401 contig_50068_1, whole genome shotgun sequence.